rnacentral:rRNA from 1 species
ACGCACGCUGGCGGCGCGCCUCACCCAUGCAAGUCGAACGGAGCUGAGAGAAGCUUGCUUUUCUUAGCUUAGUGGCGAACGGGUGAGUAACGCGUGAGUAACCUGCCCUGGAGUGGGGGACAACAGUUGGAAACGACUGCUAAUACCGCAUAAGCCCACGAUCCGGCAUCGGAUUGAGGGAAAAGGAUUUAUUCGCUUCAGGAUGGACUCGCGUCCAAUUAGCUAGUUGGUGAGGUAACGGCCCACCAAGGCGACGAUUGGUAGCCGGACUGAGAGGUUGAACGGCCACAUUGGGACUGAGACACGGCCCAGACUCCUACGGGAGGCAGCAGUGGGGGAUAUUGCACAAUGGGGGAAACCCUGAUGCAGCGACGCCGCGUGGAGGAAGAAGGUUUUCGGAUUGUAAACUCCUGUCGUUAGGGACGAUAAUGACGGUACCUAACAAGAAAGCACCGGCUAACUACGUG